GGAAGAAAACGCUCCAAAAAAAACCAAACACCCCUCGCAAUCUUGUGCAAGAAAAAAGGUCCCUAAUUGGACCGACACCACGCACAGACACGCACAGGCACGCACAGACACGCACACACACGCGCACACACACGCACGCCUCAGUUGUUCCACGUUGUGGCCUCCUCCCCGGGUUACCACGGCCACCGCCGACUAAUCCACAACGGUUACGUUUGCACAACGCGACACAAACGACGCACUACUUCUUUCGCACAUGCGCUCGCGGCCGAUGGAGAAAGGCACAUGUCACGUUAUCGAUCUCCUGAAGCGCCGCUUCUUCAUCCGCGGGACGGCGGCACGUCGUCCGAGCCGCUCCGCUUUAUUCACGGACGAAUCGGCAGAACACACACAUUGAUUUUUUUUUUUUCUUUUUCUGUUUUUUGUCCCGCGUUUAUCCAAACACGUGAACCGUGUA
ensembl:lncRNA